rnacentral:rRNA from 1 species
ACGAACGCUGGCGGCGUGCCUAAUACAUGCAAGUAGCACGCUGAAGGAGGAGCUUGCUUCUCUGGAUGAGUUGCGAACGGGUGAGUAACGCGUAGGUAACCUACCUGGUAGCGGGGGAUAACUAUUGGAAACGAUAGCUAAUACCGCAUAAGAGUAGAUGUUGCAUGACAUUUGCUUAAAAGGUGCAAUUGCAUCACUACCAGAUGGACCUGCGUUGUAUUAGCUAGUUGGUGGGGUAACGGCUUACCAAGGCGACGAUACAUAGCCGACCUGAGAGGGUGAUCGGCCACACUGGGACUGAGACACGGCCCAGACUCCUACGGGAGGCAGCAGUAGGGAAUCUUCGGCAAUAGACGGAAGUCUGACCGAGCAACGCCGCGUGAGUGAAGAAGGGUUUCGGAUCGUAAAGCUCUGUUGUAAGAGAAGAACGAGUGUGAGAGUGGAAAGUUCACACUGUGACGGUAUCUUACCAGAAAGGGACGGCUAACUACGUG